rfam:Shigella dysenteriae Sd197, complete genome.
GGCCGGAUAAGACGUUUACGCCGCAUCCGGCAUUUGUGCGCUGAUGCCUGAUGCGACGCUGACGCGUCUUAUCAUGCC